GGGCCCGCACAAGCGGUGGAGCAUGUGGUUUAAUUCGAUGAUACGCGAGGAACCUUACCAGGGCUUAAAUGUAGAUUGACUUAUUGGAAACCAGUAUUUCUUCGGACAAUCUACAAGGUGCUGCAUGGUUGUCGUCAGCUCGUGCCGUGAGGUGUCGGGUUAAGUCCCAUAACGAGCGCAACCCCCUAUCAUUAGUUGCUAACAUUUAGUUGAGGACUCUAAUGAAAACUGCCCGCGUAAAGCGGUGAGGAAGGUGGGGAUGACGUCAAAUCAUCAACGGCCCUUACGUCUAGGGCUACACACGUGCUACAAUGGUAACUACAGAGGGAAAGCUAGCUGGUGACAGUAAGC
rnacentral:rRNA from 1 species